rnacentral:sRNA from 1 species
UUGACAGCCCUGGAGACUAAAGUCCUCUAUUUAUUUAUAGAGCAGGUACAGCAUGGACAGCAGCAGUGCAAACAUUCCCACAUUGCCCCACCAAUGUGUCUCAACCUUGACCUGGACAGACCACCUUUAGGGGUAAGAGAGUAGUUCAGACUCCUUGGACUCUCUGCUAAUAAUAGUA